rnacentral:rRNA from 1 species
UACGUAGGGUGCAAGCGUUGUCCGGAAUUAUUGGGCGUAAAGAGCUCGUAGGCGGUCUGUCGCGUCUGCUGUGAAACCUAGGGCUUAACUCUGGGCGUGCAGUGGGUACGGGCAGACUAGAGUGCGGUAGGGGAGACUGGAAUUCCUGGUGUAGCGGUGGAAUGCGCAGAUAUCAGGAGGAACACCGAUGGCGAAGGCAGGAUCACUGGGCCGCGAACGACGCUGAGGAGCGAAAGCUGGGGAGCGAACAGG